rnacentral:rRNA from 1 species
GCUUUCGGACCGGCCCCAGGUGGGAGGCAACUCUCGCUCAGGGUAGGAAAGUCAGUCAAACUUGGUCAUUUAGAGGAAGUACAAGUCGUAACAAGGUUUCCGUAGGUGAACCUGCGGAAGGAUCAUUAUAGAAUUGGUUGCUUGCAACCUUCACUAUAACAUACUGUUCACGUUCCUGUUGCUUCCCUAGCGUUAGGAGGCUUUCCUCUUGCGGGACUGUUUCUGCUAGGGAACUUUGUCAAACAUAUUGUGUAUUUAUUCUGAAUCUACCAUGAAAAUGGAUAUUAAAACUUUCAACAACGGAUCUCUAGGCUCUUGCAUCGAUGAAGAACGCAGCGAAAUGCGAUAAGUAGUGUGAAUUGCAGAUUUCAGUGAAUCAUCGAAUCUUUGAACGCACAUUGCGCCCUUUGGUAUUCCGAAGGGCAUGCCUGUCUGAGCGUCAGUAAAUCAAUCAAACUUUGGUUUGGUAUUGGGAGAAGUGGCUUUGCCUCUCUCCUUUAAGCUAUUGGCGACGCUAUUUCAGCUUGUAAGACGUAGUAAGUAAUUUCUCGUUAAAGCAACUGUAUAGCUGUCUGCCAAAUGAACGAUUUAUUUAACAGCUUGACCUCAGAUCAGGUAGGGAUACCCCCUGAACUUAAGCAUAUCAAUAAGGGGAGGAAAAGAAACCAACAGGGAUUGCCUCAGUAACGGCGAGUGAAGCGGCAAAAGCUCAAAUUUGAAAUCUGGCGUCUUCGGCGUCCGAGUUGUAAUUUGUAGAGGUAGCUUUGGGUUACAGCCAGGUCUAUGUUCCUUGGAACAGGACGUCAUAG